rnacentral:rRNA from 1 species
ACGUGGUAUCCUGUCUGAAUAUGGGGGGACCAUCCUCCAAGGCUAAAUACUCCUGACUGACCGAUAGUGAACCAGUACCGUGAGGGAAAGGCGAAAAGAACCCCGGCGAGGGGAGUGAAAAAGAACCUGAAACCGUGUACGUACAAGCAGUGGGAGCCUCUUUUAUGGGGUGACUGCGUACCUUUUGUAUAAUGGGUCAGCGACUUAUAUUCUGUAGCAAGGUUAACCGAAUAGGGGAGCCGAAGGGAAACCGAGUCUUAACUGGGCGUUAAGUUGCAGGGUAUAGACCCGAAACCCGGUGAUCUAGCCAUGGGCAGGUUGAAGGUUGGGUAACACUAACUGGAGGACCGAACCGACUAAUGUUGAAAAAUUAGCGGAUGACUUGUGGCUGGGGGUGAAAGGCCAAUCAAACCGGGAGAUAGCUGGUUCUCCCCGAAAGCUAUUUAGGUAGCGCCUCGUGAAUUCAUCUCCGGGGGUAGAGCACUGUUUCGGCAAGGGGGUCAUCCCGACUUACCAACCCGAUGCAAACUGCGAAUACCGGAGAAUGUUAUCACGGGAGACACACGGCGGGUGCUAACGUCCGUCGUGAAGAGGGAAACAACCCAGACCGCCAGCUAAGGUCCCAAAGUCAUGGUUAAGUGGGAAACGAUGUGGGAAGGCCCAGACAGCCAGGAUGUUGGCUUAGAAGCAGCCAUCAUUUAAAGAAAGCGUAAUAGCUCACUGGUCGAGUCGGCCUGCGCGGAAGAUGUAACGGGGCUAAACCAUGCACCGAAGCUGCGGCAGCGACACUAUGUGUUGUUGGGUAGGGGAGCGU